ensembl:snRNA U4 U4 spliceosomal RNA
AACUUUGUGCAGUGGCAGUAUCAUAGCCAAUGAGGUUUAUCCAAGGCGUGAUUAUUGCUAAUAGAAACCCAAAUUAUAAAUAA